GAUGAACGCUAGCGGCGUGCUUAAUACAUGCAAGUCGAGCGGAAGGGCCCUGCUACUGUGGGGCGCCCGAGUGGCGAACGGGGGGGUAAGACGUGAGUAACCUGCCCUGGAUAUUGGGAUAACACCGGGAAACUGGGGCGAAUAUCGGACAGGGGCUCCUGCUGCUUGGGGGGGGGUGGAAAGUUUCGGCGGUCGGGGAUUGACUCGCGGCUUAUCAGCUGGUGGGUGGGGUAGUGGAUUACCAAGGCUUUGACGGGUAGCAGGCCGGAGAGGGUGACCUGCCACACUGGCCCGGCGAUUCCGGCCAGCAGCCGACGGGAGUCAGGGGUGGUGGGUGUUGGCCUAUCGGAGGAAGGCUGCGGGCACAACGCAGCGUGCGUGAUGUGGACCUUCGGGUUGUAAGCCGCUUUCGCCCGGGACGGCGCGUGAGUGACUGUACUGGGUAAAGAAGCACCGGCUAACUACGUG
rnacentral:rRNA from 1 species